UCCCUAUGGGGUGCAGCAGGCGAGAAAACUUUGCAAUGUGCGAAAGCACGACAAGGUUAAUCCGAGUGGUUUCUGCUAAAGGAACCUUUUGUCGGUCCUAGAAACACCGAUGAAUAAGGGGUGGGCAAGUUCUGGUGUCAGCCGCCGCGGUAAAACCAGCACCUCAAGUGGUCAGGAUGAUUAUUGGGCCUAAAGCAUCCGUAGCCGGCUCUGUAAGUUUUCGGUUAAAUCUGUACGCUCAACGUACAGGCUGCCGGGAAUACUGCAGAGCUAGGGAGUGGGAGAGGUAGACGGUACUCGGUAGGAAGGGGUAAAAUCCUUUGAUCUAUUGAUGACCACCUGUGGCGAAGGCGGUCUACCAGAACACGUCCGACGGUGAGGGAUGAAAGCUGGGGGAGCAAACCGGAUUAGAUACCCGGGUAGUCCCAGCUGUAAACUAUGCAAACUCAGUGAUGCAUUGGCUUGUGGCCAAUGCAGUGCUGCAGGGAAGCCGUUAAGUUUGCCGCCUGGGAAGUACGUACGCAAGUAUGAAACUUAAAGGAAUUGGCGGGGGAGCACCACAAGGGGUGAAGCCUGCGGUUCAAUUGGAGUCAACGCCGGAA
rnacentral:rRNA from 1 species